rnacentral:lncRNA from 1 species
AUGAAUUUGGGCUUCUAACUUUUCCCUUGUAUUGGAAUCGAAAUCCCUUUGUGACAGUUGUUGUAGAAGAACACUUCAUGGAGUCAUCCAAAAAGGAAUUGAUUGCCAAGCUUGACACCUUACAUUCUUCCAAAUUCUUAUGCAGUGCUUUGUUGAAACUUCAUAGUGAUGAGGUUGUUUUAAGGGAUUAUAUAUGUAUGUGCUCUUUGAUUUUUACUUUCGUGUUGUUGUCUUACCUAUUAUAUUAUCUAAAGCAUAUCAUUGGUUUUUGUAGGCAAUUUUAUUCCAAUUACCGAUACCGAGGAUCAUCUUCAUCAAGGCUACAAGCAAAAGAUGAAGUUGCAGGCGGAAACGGUUGGCAAACCUUUUGCAGAAGGGUCAUCCAGUCUGCUAUUUGGCGCUUCUUCAAGCUUAGUGUUUGUGGUUCCUAACCCUUAAUUUGAAAACCAAUCAUCUCAAAAGCCAAGAAAGAACUUAGGGAGAGGUCCUAUUAAUGUUGACUUAACUGUUGUGAGUGACUAGCCUGCUCCAAAUCUGAUCCAGACUCAAAUUCCUUUUUUGGCCAUCCUGGUCAUUCUCCAUGUUUUUAGCAAGUUUCCCCAAGAGUAGGUUAUAGAAGAACAUUUGACUAUCACAGGUGUUGAAGGACCAAUGAAGAAAGUUGGUCUUGUAGGUGCUUGUAAGGCCUUAAAGUUUUUUAGCUUAAUGUCGGCUAAUGUUUUGUUGGAUUGGGAAGGAGUAUGGUCCUUGGUCAAAGACAAAAGUUUGUGGGUUUCAUGAUCAAACCAUGAAAUAUGUGGUUGUCCUCAGAAUUAACUAGGAAGAAGGGAACGAUCGUUACAUUGUUUGAGAAGUUGGAGUAGGUUGUGGCGGCCAAGGCACUAGUCGAGAAAGACUUGGAAGAUGCCAAGUCUCAGUUAACUUGUUGGAUGGUGAAAAUGGGACAUUGGAGAAGUACGUGAAGGACUUAAGUGGUUUUGAAUUACAAGCUAAAGAAUUUAGAGAUGAACGGAAGCCUAUGAAGGCUACAUUAGAGUAAUGAGAAGCCGACAUUGAUGUGAUGGCUUAUGAGCAAUUUGAAUUAGGGUUCUGUCGCAAUCUAUCCUUUGGCGGGAGGGCGACGCGUGACUCGCAGGUGCGUCUUUCAAGAAAGGAAUACACACGGAGUCGCCACCAAUGUUUAUUUGAGGAAAACGUCGAAAAAACAGGAAAAGACGUGGUCUACGAAUUUUAAGUGAAAGGUUCGGGAGUUGUAUUUACGCACGGGGAAGGUAUUAGCACCCCACACGUCCGUCACAAGGGACGACAAUCUUUAAUCAAAUGUGCAAACAUGACUUCAAUUUUUAUGUUUCCUUUUACGUCUUUAUUUCUUUUUGUACUUUUUAUAUUUUUAUCUUUUUGUGGUCGACGAGGGUGUUUACCUUGCUCCUACGUAUUCCUCAAUUGUGAUAAGGAAAUCAGAC